UGACAGUACUCCUACGGGGAGGCAGCAGUGGGGGAAUAUUGCACAAUGGGCGCAAGCCUGAUGCAGCCAUGCCGCGUGUGUGAAGAAGGCCUUCGGGGUUGUAAAGCACUUUCAGUCGUGAGGAAGGUAGUGUAGUUAAUAGCUGCAUUAUUUGACGUUAGCGACAGAAGAAGCACCGGCUAACUCCGUGCCAGCAGCCGCGGUAAUACGGAGGGUGCGAGCGUUAAUCGGAAUUACUGGGCGUAAAGCGCAUGCAGGUGGUUUGUUAAGUCAGAUGUGAAAGCCCGGGGCUCAACCUCGGAAUAGCAUUUGAAACUGGCAGACUAGAGUACUGUAGAGGGGGGUAGGAAUUUCAGGUGUAGCGGUGAAAUGCGUAGAGAUCUGAAGGAAUACCGGUGGCGAAGGCGGCCCCCUGGACAGAUACUGACACUCAGAUGCGAAAGCGUGGGGAGCAAACAGGAUUAGAUACCCUGGUAG
rnacentral:rRNA from 1 species